UAUCCAGAUGGUGUUUCAGGAAGAAAUCCAGAGCAUUUAUAAGUGGGUUAUUUGUUUUUCCUUACAGUUACUUCCACGCAAAGGUAUGCAUCCAUUUUAGAGAAGAGGGAAAUGAACUUGAUCCAAAUUUUUUGUAGCGAGUCGGUCUGAGGUGUGGUGAUGGUGGUGGUGUUCCUUCUGUCCCAAGUUAAGGGAUGGAGGGGUCAUGAAAGACUCUGAAGAUAAACUUGGCUGAAGUUGAUACUUGAAAGUAAAAUGAGAGGACACCUGAAUAAGAAGUAUGAUAUGAUGGGCCUGCUCAACAUGAAAGCACAAGUGAGAUUUAAUGACUCCUCCCAGGCUCAGAAGAUCACACUGGAGAGGACGGUGCCUGGGAGGAGGAGUCCAAAGCCAAAGAAAAAGGAUUGGACCACAGCUUUCACCCCUACAGGUAGAGAGAGGAGUGGGUCAUUGUUCCAGGAACUUGUGGGCUCCCCAGGAGUGUUAUUUACCUCAGUCAAAGAAAACACAGGGACAUCAACAGUGGGUUUCAGCAGCUCAGUGUCACAGCUCCUUAGAGAUGCCUUCCUGUACCCCUCAGUUUAAAUGAGGUCUUCAUGCAAGGUUCCUCCAAGUGUCCUGUAUUUUCCUUCAGAGACUUUAUCACCUGAAAAGGAACCACGAAAGGAUGCUCUUGGGUUUCCAGCUCUGGAUGGCAGAUCUUACAUUAAACAUCUUCUCAGGCCUUUGUCUUUAACAUUUUUGCCUCUGGAAUUCCUAGCAUGAAGUAGGUGUUCCCCACAGGCUUUCAAGGGCUAGAAAUCAUGCUUUGUAGGCUUUGAGCCUUUGCAGUGAAAGACAAAGAUAUUGGAAAUCAUGCGCCUUCAUGGACACUCACAAAACACUAUAAAUCCAUCUUCUGCACCUCUCCGAUCUGACGACCAAGCCAGAAAGCCAGUAUUUCCCAUGGUUACCUUCACAGACCUCAGAAAACAUUAAGAACAGAUGAUGAGAAAACUAUUACAAAGUAUUAACAGGCUGAAAACAACAGCCCUAUUUAGCUAAAUUAUUAAAAGCCACCACAGAUAAUUCAAAUAAGUCCCCUUGGGACAGUAUUUCUCAAGAGUGGUCAGUGGCUGAACAGCAUUUAGAAAAUACACUCGGGGUUGAAAUGCAGAUGUCAGGACUCUACUUCCAAACCCACUCAACUCAGGUUUCUAGGGGUGGGGUCCAGGGAUCUGCAUGUAGAAUAAA